rnacentral:rRNA from 1 species
GCAGGCCUAACACAUGCACGUCGAACGGCAGCACAAGGGAGUUUACUUCUGAGGUGGCGAGCGGCGGACGCGGUGAGUUUGCCUAGGGAUCUGCCCAGUCGAGGGGGAUAACAGUUGGAAACGACUGCUAAUACCGCAUACGCCCUACGGGGGAAAGAGGGGGACCUUCGGGCCUCUCGCGAUUGGAUGAACCUAGGUGGGAUUAGCUAGUUGGUGAGGUAAUGGCUCACCAAGGCGACGAUCCCUAGCUGUUCUGAGAGGAUGAUCAGCCACACUGGGACUGAGACACGGCCCAGACUCCUACGGGAGGCAGCAGUGGGGAAUAUUGCACAAUGGGGGAAACCCUGAUGCAGCCAUGCCGCGUGUGUGAAGAAGGCCUUCGGGUUGUAAAGCACUUUCAGUAGGGAGGAAAGGGUGAGUCUUAAUACGGCUCAUCUGUGACGUUACCUACAGAAGAAGGACCGGCUAACUCCGUGCCAGCAGCCGCGGUAAUACGGAGGGUCCGAGCGUUAAUCGGAAUUACUGGGCGUAAAGCGUGCGCAGGCGGUUUGUUAAGCGAGAUGUGAAAGCCCUGGGGCUCAACCUAGGAAUAGCAUUUCGAACUGGCGAACUANAGUCUUGUAGAGGGGGGUAGAAUUCCAGGUGUAGCGGUGAAAUGCGUANAGAUCUGGAGGAAUACCGNUGGCGAAGGCGGNCCCCUNNACAAGACUGACGCUCAUGCACGAAAGCGUGGGGAGCAACAGGAUUAAAUACCNNGNUANUCACGCCGUAAACNAUGUCUACUCNGANUUNGGUGUCUUGA